GCCUACACAUGCAAGUCGAACGCAGUAGCAAUACUGAGUGGCAGACGGGUGAGUAACAUGUGGGAAUCUGCCUUGUGGUUCAGGACAACAUUGGGAAACCGAUGCUAAUACUGGAUAAGCCCUUACGGGGAAAGUUUUAAUGCCAUAAGAUGAGCCCGCAUUUGAUUAGUUAGUUGGUGAGGUAAUGGCUUACCAAGACAAUGAUCAAUAGCUGAUCUGAGAGGAUGAUCAGCCACACUGGGACUGAGACACGGCCCAGACUCCUACGGGAGGCAGCAGUGGGGAAUCUUGCACAAUGGAGGAAACUCUGAUGCAGCGAUGCCGCGUGAGUGAAGAAGGCCUUUGGGUUGUAAAGCUCUUUUGUAGGGGAAGAUAAUGACUGUACCCUAAGAAUAAGGUCCGGCUAACUUCGUGCCAGCAGCCGCGGUAAUACGAAGGGACCGAGCGUAGUUCGGAAUUACUGGGCGUAAAGCGCGCGUAGGCCGUUGAGUUAGUUAAUUGUGAAAUCCCAAAGCUUAACUUUGGAACUGCAAUUAAAACUGCUCGACUAGAGUUUGAUAGAGGAAAGCGGAAUACAUAGUGUAGAGGUGAAAUUCGUAGAUAUUAUGUAGAACACCAGUUGCGAAGGCGGCUUUCUGGAUCAACACUGACGCUGAGGCGCGAAAGUAUGGGUAGCAAAGAGGAUUAGAUACCCUCGUAGUCCAUACCAUAAACGAUGAUUGCUAGAUGUUGGAAAUUUAUUUUCAGUAUCGCAGCUAACGCAUUAAGCAAUCCGCCUGGGGAGUACGACCGCAAGGUUAAAACUCAAAUGAAUUGACGGGGACCCGCACAAGCGGUGGAGCAUGUGGUUUAAUUCGAAGAUACGCGCAGAACCUUACCAACCCUUGACAUGUCUGUCGCGAGUUUAGGAAACUAGACUUUUCGGUUCGGCCGGACAGAACACAGGUGCUGCAUGGCUGU
rnacentral:rRNA from 1 species